rnacentral:lncRNA from 1 species
GCCAGUUUUCCAUUAGAAAUCUAACCCUAAUCCCCCUUCUCACGUUAUCCAAACAAACCUGGUGUGCCACAUUCCUCCUGUCUGUGUUACAGUGGAAGAACAGUCCCAGGAAAGCUUAAGCAUGAUGUGAAAAGAAGCAAGACACUGGAGAGGGGAAAGUUGGAGGUGAUCAGCGUUGGAAAAAGCUGGCAUGGAUACUGUGGGCGUUUGCUGGCCUGGCAAGAAAGACUCUCCCUGAGGUUCCUGUGUUGCUC